rnacentral:rRNA from 1 species
GUGGGGAAUCUUCCGCAAUGGACGAAAGUCUGACGGAGCAACGCCGCGUGAGUGAUGAAGGUCUUCGGAUUGUAAAGCUCUGUUAAUCGGAACGAAAGAGCCUAGUGUGAAUAAUGCUAGGAAGUGACGGUACCGGAAUAGAAAGCCACGGCUAACUACGUGCCAGCAGCCGCGGUAAUACGUAGGUGGCAAGCGUUGUCCGGAAUUAUUGGGCGUAAAGCGCGCGCAGGCGGAUCUGCCAGUCUGUCUUAAAAGUUCGGGGCUUAACCCCGUGAUGGGAUGGAAACUACAGAUCUAGAGUAUCGGAGAGGAAAGUGGAAUUCCUAGUGUAGCGGUGAAAUGCGUAGAUAUUAGGAAGAACACCAGUGGCGAAGGCGACUUUCUGGACGAAAACUGACGCUGAGGCGCGAAAGCCAGGGGAGCGAACGGGAUUAGAAACCCGGGUAGUCC